rnacentral:rRNA from 1 species
GGCGAACGCUGGCGGCGUGCUUAACACAUGCCAGUCGAGCGGUAAGGCCCUUCGGGGUCCCCGAGCGGCGAACGGGUGAGUAACACGUGAGUAAUCUGCCCAUCACUUCGGGAUAACUCCGGGAAACCGGUGCUAAUACCGAAUAUGACCACUUCAGGCAUCUGAUGGUGGUGGAAAGUUCCGGCGGUGAUGGAUGAGCUCGCGGCCUAUCAGCUUGUUGGUGGGGUAGUGGCCUACCAAGGCUUCGACGGGUAGCCGGCCUGAGAGGGUGACCGGCCACACUGGGACUGAGACACGGCCCAGACUCCUACGGGAGGCAGCAGUGGGGAAUAUUGGACAAUGGGCGAAAGCCUGAUCCAGCAACGCCGCGUGAGGGAUGACGGCCUUCGGGUUGUAAACCUCUUUCAGCAGGGACGAAGCGCAAGUGACGGUACCUGCAGAAGAAGCACCGGCCAACUACGUG